UACGUAGGGCGCGAGCGUUGUCCGGAAUUAUUGGGCGUAAAGAGCUCGUAGGCGGCCUGUUGCGUCCGCUGUGAAAUCCCGGGGCUUAACCCCGGGCGUGCAGUGGAUACGGGCUGGCUGGAGGCAGGCAGGGGAGAACGGAAUUCCCGGUGUAGCGGUGAAAUGCGCAGAUAUCGGGAGGAACACCGGUGGCGAAGGCGGUUCUCUGGGCCUUACCUGACGCUGAGGAGCGAAAGCGUGGGGAGCGAACAGG
rnacentral:rRNA from 1 species